CUACGGGAGGCUGCAGUGAGGAAUAUUGCACAAUGGGGGGAACCCUGAUGCAGCAACGCCGCGUGGAGGAUGACGCAUUUCGGUGUGUAAACUCCUUUUAUAUGUCAAGAAAAUGACGGUAGCAUAUGAAUAAGCACCGGCUAACUCCGUGCCAGCAGCCGCGGUAAUACGGAGGGUGCAAGCGUUACUCGGAAUCACUGGGCGUAAAGGACGCGUAGGCGGGUUGGAAAGUCAGGUGUGAAAUCCUACAGCUUAACUGUAGAACUGCACUUGAAACUUCUAAUCUUGAGUAUGGGAGGGGGAGAUGGAAUUAGUGGUGUAGGGGUAAAAUCCGUAGAUAUCACUAGGAAUACCUAAAGCGAAGGCGAUCUCCUGGAACAUUACUGACGCUAAGGCGUGAAAGCGUGGGGAGCAAACAGGAUUAGAUACCCGAGUAGCC
rnacentral:rRNA from 1 species